UACAACCAAAAGAAGUUCUCAGAACACCAGAACCAAUGCACUCUUCUUCAAUAACCAAAAGCAGCAUCAAGAAUCUUCAAAACCAGGUAUGUACAUGCUUCUCAGUCUUAGAUCCCUUUCCUAGUAGCAUUUGGUCAAUAAUAUAGACUAAAUAUAUCAUUUAAUGAAUGAACCUAAAACGUUGAUUUUUGCUUAUAAUAGUGACCGGAGAGAGUACUUAUUUACUGAUUUGUUAAUUUUUGUAGCCAAAGUUCAAGAACUGUUUGUGUAUGAGAUCAAUGAACGUGAUAGAGGAAGUCCUGCAUACCUUAGACUAAGUCAAAAAUCAGUGAACUCACUUGGAGAUUUAGUACCAUUCAGCAACAAACUCUAUUCAGGAAACUUGGAAAAAAGGUUAGGUAUAACUUCAGGUUUAUGUAUACUGAUCCAG
rnacentral:lncRNA from 1 species